rnacentral:rRNA from 1 species
UGGGGAAUUUUGGACAAUGGGCGCAAGCCUGAUCCAGCAAUGCCGCGUGCAGGAUGAAGGCCUUCGGGUUGUAAACUGCUUUUGUACGGAACGAAACGGCGAGCUCUAAUACAGUUUGCUAAUGACGGUACCGUAAGAAUAAGCACCGGCUAACUACGUGCCAGCAGCCGCGGUAAUACGUAGGGUGCAAGCGUUAAUGGGAAUUACUGGGCGUAAAGCGUGCGCAGGCGGUUAUGUAAGACAGAUGUGAAAUCCCCGGGCUUAACCUGGGAACUGCAUUUGUGACUGCAUAGCUAGAGUACGGUAGAGGGGGAUGGAAUUCCGCGUGUAGCAGUGAAAUGCGUAGAUAUGCGGAGGAACACCGAUGGCGAAGGCAAUCCCCUGGACCUGUACUGACGCUCAUGCACGAAAGCGUGGGGAGCAAACA